AGUGAUACACCGAUAUAGAUUUGUAUCAAAAUAAUCCGAAGCUAUUUAUAAAUAUUAUUUUCUCAGCUUUUACUUAUGUUCAAACGUUAAUAGUAACGUCUGAUCUAUAAUUAACUUGUGAAAGUUUAUAAAUAUUACAGUAUUCCAUGGUGAAGUAGUGAGUCGAGUCGGUUAUUAGUGGCAAAGGUUGCCAUUUUUUUAGUGGGAUAUAAUCGUGUGUGGUGAUAUCAGGGCGUGAUCUCAGUGCUCGGAGUCGCUCCGAGAGGGAAUCCGGGGCAGUGUUGAGAUGCAACUAGUGUCAGUGCGGUCGAGAUAAUAGCAGUGCGUGUUGUGGUCGUGGUGACGUGAUGAUGCGGUCGCAGUGAGGGGGCAGAGCGACACCACGGCUUCGUCAGUGGCGGGCGGCGCGCGGGGAGCCGAGUCUCCUUCGCAGCCCAACCAAGACACGGUGGACAACGCCACUCCCACCUGCUGGUGGGCGGCGUGGUCGGCAAUGGGAUGCUUCGGCUCGCCGGGCGGCAAGAGCAGCGAAGACGACGCCAAGAAACAGAAACGCCGCAGCGAUGCCAUCACCAAGCAGCUGCAGAAGGAUAAACAGCUAUACCGCGCCACGCACCGCCUCCUACUCCUGGGCGCGGGCGAGUCGGGCAAGUCCACCAUCGUGAAACAAAUGCGUAUCCUUCACGUGAACGGCUUCUCCGACAAGGAGCGCCGCGAGAAGAUCGAGGACAUCAAGAAGAAUAUACGCGACGCGAUACUUACAAUAACCGGCGCUAUGAGCACUCUGACGCCGCCCAUACCGCUCGAGAAGCCGGAGAAUAAGGCGCGCGUCGAUUAUAUACAGGACGUAGCGUCCCAGCCGGACUUCGACUACCCGAUGGAGUUCUACGAGCACACGGAGGCGCUGUGGCACGACCUCGGCGUGCAGCGCACCUACGAGCGCAGCAACGAGUACCAGCUCAUCGACUGCGCUAAGUAUUUCCUGGACCAGGUGCACAUAAUAAAGCAGCCGAACUACACGCCGACGGAGCAGGACAUCCUGCGCUGUCGAGUCCUCACCUCCGGCAUCUUCGAGACGCAGUUCGUUGUCGACAAAGUCAAUUUCCAUAUGUUCGACGUGGGCGGCCAGCGCGACGAGCGACGCAAGUGGAUCCAGUGCUUCAACGACGUGACGGCCAUCAUCUUCGUGACCGCCUGCUCGUCCUACAACAUGGUGCUGCGCGAGGACCCCACGCAGAACCGCCUCCGGGAGUCGCUCGACCUCUUCAAGAGCAUAUGGAACAACAGAUGGCUGCGCACGAUAUCGGUGAUCCUGUUCCUGAACAAGCAGGACCUGCUGGCGGAGAAGGUGGUGGCGGGCAAGUCGCGGCUGGAGGAGUACUUCGCGGAGUUCGCGCGCUACUCCACGCCACCCGACGCCGCGCCCGACGCCCGCGACCAUCCCGACGUCGCCCGGGCCAAGUACUUCAUACGGGACGAGUUCCUUCGUAUAAGCACGGCAAGCGGCGACGGCAAGCACUACUGCUACCCGCACUUCACGUGCGCCGUCGACACCGAGAACAUCAAGCGCGUGUUCAACGACUGCCGCGACAUCAUACAACGCAUGCACCUCCGGCAGUACGAGCUGCUCUAACCAUAGCACCACCCGCUAGAUAAAGUAUGUGCGGUGCAGUAAAGGCCCGCGACUCGUAUGACCCGGUCAGCAAUACAUACUACACUACGUACGCCCUGACUCCCUGGUUUAUUUACCGCCCAACGAAAACGCUUCGUAACGAUACAUAUGUAUUUAUGACGAAAACAACUCAUGAAAAACCAGAUUCUGUAAAAAAAAAAAUAACGAAAAAUCUCGAAUUUUCUAUCCAAAAACUCAAUCUCGAAUAAUUUCGCUUUGAUACGACAAAAUAUUUACCGAUUACCGAUUGUAAGAGUAUCGAUUACGAAGCGUUAAUCGUUAUACCGCGGCUAGUGAUGUUCCCAUGGUGUUUCCGAACGUCAGAGUUUGCGAUAAGCUGGCAACUUUAGUCGAUUUUAUGUGAGAAUUUACUAAACAUGUUUAGUUAUGCACAUCAUAAAAUUGUUGGCUUUAGAUAAAUACCACUUACUUCUAUAGUACUGAGUGAGAAGUUAAAUGCAAUGAAAAAUAUCGAAUUCUAUUCUAAACACCUUUUACUCAUGACACUAUGCAGGGUUGACACACAGUAAAAUAAUUUGGGCAUGUCACUAAUUUAAAUCAAAUUGCAAUUAAAAUUAUGUACAACUGGUUGUUUAUCGCGGAUUCACCCGCAUCUCGAGGGGACUAUUCCCUUCACCCGGGCAAAAGACCAUUUUUAAAACAAACAUAAGACAAAUACAAAACUUUCCACGUCAUGAAAUUAGGAAGAUAAUUUUCUUUCGUAAAUGGCAUCUAAAUUCAAUUUUCUUUUUACCUGGUCAUGUCAACUAUUGCCAUGAAGGAUUGGCCACAUCAGUCAAUAAAAGUCCACCAUCCCUGCAUUAGUGUCAUUAGCUCACUGAAGUGCGAUUGAUACAUAGUGGCAUUUGUUUAGAGUCCAUUUACUUAUCAUUUUUAGUAAGUUGUCACCUUAGUCGAUGUUGUAAACGCACAUCACUACGGUCCUUUUUCGAAAUUCGAGCACCGCGUAGUGGUGUGACGUUGUCGGGUCUAUUGGGUUGUGACGUGAUUCGACUAAAUUCGACUGCUCGAUGAGGCGUGGAGUAUCGAAUAUUCGCCAGUUACGUUUAUAUAAUAUCGAUUAAUUUAGUCGAUCGGUCUCUUUACGAUAUAUUUUAUUCAGUUGACACAAACAAUGGUACUUAUAAGUUGUUCUUAAUUCUUAUUAUUAUAAUUAUUUGCUUCAAGAUUCUAUUAUAAAUUGAUAGUUGUUGAUUUUAAAAACAUUAUUUUUAAUUGUAACUUAUACAUUAAAUCAUGCGAUAUUCACUGUAAGUGCUGGGUUAGGACAGGAUGUGUAAUCGAUAACAUUUUAUUAAAUGUUUUAAUCGACUGAAAUCGUUUGGGAACGGAUAAUCGACUAAUCCUUACAUUACUUUGUGCAUUAUUCGAAACAUUGUGUUUAUAAUCGCCAAACAGACUUUUAGUGAUGUGAGCGUUUUGAUGUUUUAGUCGAUUUGAAGUUAUAAAAAUAGUGUGAAAGUCUAGAUUUAGUCUAGACUAGACUGGUUCGUGUGGAGGUGCGAGCGACCCGGGUGGGACGCGGCUGCGGCACGACAACGAUACGAUACCGACACGAUUCAUUUCAAUUAUAAAAUAAAGUAUAGUCUACCAACUAAUUUUAGUGAAUUAAUUAAGGAACAUUUCUUAAUACAAAUACGUAAUAAUACGUUGAGUUACCACAGUUUUUUUGUUAUUAUUGUCGGUAAAUAUUUCAUAGUCGUCCGCUCCGGUCCGCAGCUGUUUCAAACGGUUUUAUAUUAAGGAUCAUCGAAGUACUAGGUACGCCUCGAGGCUAGAUCAAUAGUAUUCACUUCACUUUCGAGUACACAACGUUUUUUUUUUAAGUUGGUUAAGCUUAACUUGGGGAUAUUAGUCGGACUACGCACAUUUUGAAUAUAGAACUCAGUUUCUUUUUUUGUAAUGUAAACUUCUUUGUCAUAUCAUAAACUAUAGAGGUUUUUUUAAUAGAUGAAAAAUACUGUCCGUUUCUGACAUUAUAGCACAAAAAAGUUUUUGUUGUUGUCUAUGUGUAGUCCAACUUUACCCGCUAUUUACCGAGCGCAAUCAUUUUAUGCUCAAAUUAGGCCAAAUCGUUUAUUUUAUUUAUUUAAACAAUAAACCCUGAAUAUUUAAAUUGAAAUAUAUUGAUUUCGUAAUAAAAUUAUACACUGAGUAUAGCCAUUUUUUUCUAGAUCAAAUUAAAAAGGAAUAUUUGAUAUGUCUGUAUAUUUUUGAUUACAGAAGUUUUUAUUUUAUUUUCUUUGGCGGAUAUUUUAGGGGUGGGCUCUUACGUGUUAUUUUGAAUGAACAACAAUUAAAUAACAUAUUGUAACACUAAUUUGAUUUUGUUGUUUGGUAACCAAAACAGCUUAUGAAAUAUUUUUAUCAUUGUAUUGACAAAUGACAUGAGUAAAAUUUAAGCAUCCAAACUUUUAUGAUAAAAUAUGAUGUCGAUAAUAUUAAAAUCAGAGUGAAAUCAAGCGACCAUAUCUAACACAUGAGGGCACAUCUUUAUUUAGUUUUUACACAAAUAUAGUUUAAAAGCGAUUUAUUUUUAAUUCUUAUCAAAUGUACGUCUUCCAAUAUCGUAUAGUUUUGUAAUAAUUAUUUCGUUUGCGUCUUAAUACGUUCGUUCAUAGCACAAUUUUUGACUAAAAUGUAACAAUACAAGUGCUUUUGUGGAUUAAAAGUUAGUUUUAAUUAUUAUUUCUUUGUAAUGUUGAGCUUUUAGGAAUUUAAGGUCCAAAGAUCCGACCGUAUGUAAUACGGCCGGCAGAAUAUCAAUAUCCUAGCAGUAUUUGAGUUUAAAAAAAUAUUUUCAAAGAUUAUACUAUUUUUUUUUUUCGUUUAUAAGAUGGACACAAUUUUAGCCUUUAAGUACAAAGAAUACUAACCUCUCCUAACAUUAAUUUACUAAAUAGAAUUAUUAUUAUUAUUUAUAUUAUAUGAAAAAAAUAAAAUUGGUUUAUGUACUUACACGUCGUGCUAUUUUAAGAGAUAUUUUUAAAAUACAAAAUGAUCUAUUCUAUCGUUAUGAAUCUUAAUAUAUUUUUGAUUUAGUAAAUUGUUAUUUGCCGCUUAAGGUAUUGUUGGGCAACUGUUGGGCGACUGGAAAGUGGUCCAGUUUAAUGGCUGAAAAGUGUAACGCCGACUAUCGCUCUGCACUCAUUCCACUGAAACAUUGUAAAAUAUAUAAGCGAUUUUCAUAGUAGUUGCGAUAGAAUGAUGCCUGACUGUUGCCCGAUAUAUGACUACACCUCAACGUAUUUUUGCUUUUAAGCACAAUACGGAAAUAUACCUUAAGCAGUAAAAUAAUAAAAUUGUUAAUAUAUAAUUUGUUAGAAAAUGGUCCUUAAUAUAAGAAAGUUAAGCUGGAGUUUGUGUUAUGUGCCAUAAUGUAGUGUUGCCAGCGGAAACACCAUAUCCUAUGUUACCAUACUAAAAAAACAGAAUAAUUCCUUCCUUCGUAUUGUAUGUACAGUAACAAAAUUCGCUAUUUUUUGCUUUCUUAUUCGUAACACUGUCGUUAUUUUUUUUAAAUAUAACUAUAUUGAAAUUGUAUUUUUUUUUCUUUUUUGUGUUAUAUAAGUUUCACUUUAAAUGUAAGUAGAAGAGAAUAUAACGUACAUUUAAAAUAUUAAAUGAAACUAUAUGUUAAUUCAUAAUGUCGUAUGGGGGUUGCCACAGGUUUAGAAGCCUGUCAAUUAUAUACGACUUGAUAAUGUCGAGCGGACGCGGUAGCAUUGGGGACAAACAGACAAACAAAUAUACAUAUUUAUUUAUCUACCAUAGACUACGAUAUACAAACUCGAACACUAAUACACGCGCCAUAUUGAAACCAUAGACAUUUGUCAUGCCGGAACAAAGGCUUUUCGCCAAUGUCAUCCGCGUUCGUAGAUCGUGCAAUAAGGAGACCUCCAUACAUACCACAUCACUAUAGAAUCAUUGUGUAAUUAAAAAUUAACAUGGCAUUCUUUAUUAUAUAUGUAAAAUUAAUAAAAAAAAGUACUAUUUGGUAGCUAUUUAAGUAAGUAAUAGCGUAUCGCAAAAAAUAAAAAUGGAAUGCAAAAGUAACAAAAAAAGGUAUAAAAUAUAACGUAGACUGCUGAUGUUGUGGGGUACUUUCUGUCUUGCAGGCUACGCAGUAGUCGGAUCUGUUCGGGGUGGGUUGCGACUUUUACGACUUCCCGUCUUCUAUAUUACGACUUCCUACUUUUACCAUUAAUCCUGUAUUGCCAAAAUAAGUAAAAAGGCACCUUUAUUCGUUACUGUAAUUUUUUUAAUUACAGUGAAGCAUUCGGGACGUUUUUUAAGUAAAAUAAACAGGAAUUCCAAGAGAUAAAGUUUUUUCACUAAAAAAAAUACAGAAUUAAUCAUUUAUAUUUAUAUCUUGCUUGUAAUUGAAGUAAACUUCAAUUUGGUUGUCGUGAAAGUCGUCGCCCAGCAAAAGGAACAUACUGUAACUUCGACAUCUUAAGUAAUGCACACAUUUAGUUCGACCUGACUUCAAUGGUAGGCCUGGUGUGUGUUCUAGUUCACAUAACUUGAUAACUAGAUUAUGAAGAAAUAAGCCAAAAAACAAGAUUUUUAAUUCAUGAAAAUAAAGGUACUUUUAGUACUUUUUUUCUGGGAAAUAGCAGAAGAUGAAAAAAAUAUUUAAACAAUAUAGUUUGCAUACUUAUUCUGUUAUCCAGUUAUGUUAACUUCAACACUCGUAAAGCAACGCCCGGCUAAGCUUUUGAUAUAAAAGUACACGAUUAGAGAAAAUCACGAUUUUAUAGUAAAAAGCACUUUGAAUUCUAUAACAAUUUUAGUUAAUUAUAGUUGCCUGAUAUUUCAACUAUAGACGUUGAUUUGAGUAAUUAAUAUUAUAUAAUUUUAUAUUUAAAGCCAGUUAGCUCACAAUGUUUUCGGUUGUUCAAACUUCAAAGACUUAAAAAUUAUACGUAAUUUAGUUUUGAAUUUUUAUAUUUAUGCUAUGCAGUUUCUAAAUUCGGGUCACUCGCCGCUAAAGUUUUCUCACAAGUUGUAUAUAUGGCGUUAGAGCAUUUUUAGGGGUAUUUCGUCCAUAUUUAAAAUGAGUUUUUCGAACUAGAUGUUUUAAACUAGAAAAGACUAGAUGGUAAUUAAUCAAAUUGGUUUAAUUACUGUAAAGGUGGUGGAGUCAACAUCAGUCUAAUUCCGAUACUUGAACAAAGCCUAACUUUGAUCAGCGCUUAUGUAUCACGCUAUCGAACAUUGUAACGUGUUUUAUAGCUAUGUCAUACUUGUAAGUGCAACUUAAAGUUACGUAGCGUUCGAGUAUUCGGUAAUAAGUUAGUUUCCAGAAGUAUGUGUCUCUUAGCGACAGAACGGAAGUGGUCCCCCUAACAAAUGUCGACGUAACAAGUAUGUAUACAUUGUAUAUUGCUGUCCUACCCUCAUCCCUUUACGAUUUAAGUAAAUGCAAUAACAUGUGAGUCAUUGUAUCGUGUAUAAAGGUAGCUUAGAACAUAAUUUUCUAUGUUUUUCAAUAUUUAGAUGAACACCGCAAGUCCGUGCUAGGUCGGAGCAGGUUAGUUCGUCUGCGCUCGCGUCGCCAUGUUUUCAUAUAAUCGUGUUGGCGCCAACAAUGUGGACGUAGGUUUAAUACUUUGUUUCGCGUGUUCGGAUCCUUGACUAGUAGUAUCGUAACGUCCGUUGAUAAUAACCAAAUAGUAUUGAAAAGAUUCCUCCUUUUUUAAUAUAUCUUCAUAGUAGAUAAGUGAAUGUACUUGCGCACAAUGUAUGUGAGACGCGUCGAGUACCCUUUUGUUUAAAGAAUGCAGCGCUCGACUGCAAAUAUUUUUGGUAAUGUUUUACCUUUAACUCGUCGCAACUCUCUCGCUAAUGAAUGAAGGCAUUUAAUUAGUGCUCAUAGAUUUCUUUCCAUUGUAGCACAAAAAUAAAAUAAUAAAAAACGUAUUUUUCUCUCAAUUUUUGGGUAGUUAAUUUUUUUAAAUAGAAUAUUUUCUAGCAUAGCUCAAAGUCACUUUGUUUAGAAUCGGUAUUUGAGAUCAGCACUUAUCAUUGUGUUCGUUACCGACGGACUGCGGAUUAUCGUGUAUUUAAUCUUAAUACCUACGUUUAAUGAUAUACUGAAAAUCUAUAUUUUUAACAAAUUUAAUUUAAAAAAUAUACCUAAUUAAUGAAAUUCCUAAAGAUAAAAAUGAAAUUUUUAAUAUUUAUGUGUAUAGUAGUGUGUACUGCGAGGUGAUUAUAAAAUAACAAACGCUUAUAAGUUUUAUGUCUCCACAGAUUCGUGCAAAGAGAAUAUAUAAUUUACUGUCCAUGAAAUUAAUAAUAAUCUAUAACUGAUGUGUACAAAAAUCAGUAUGUUUCAGGCAUUUUGAAUCCGACUUAAUGUAUGUAAAAAUAAAUGUUGUUUUAAAA